rnacentral:rRNA from 1 species
CGACGAAUCUUCCGCAAUGGGCGCAAGCCUGACGGAGCGACGCCGCGUGUGGGAUGAAGCGCCUUCGGCGUGUAAACCACUGUCAGGGGGUAGAACCAAUGAUCACCCCCAGAGGAAGAGACGGCUAACCCUGUGCCAGCAGCCGCGGUAAGACAGGGGUCUCGAGCGUUAAUCGGAAUUACUGGGCUUAAAGGGUGCGUAGGUGGGCCUGCAAGUGCUCCGUGAAAUCCCCCGGCUCAACCGGGGAACUGCGGGGCAUACUGCGGGCCUUGAGGAAGGUAGGCGCCGAGGGAACAGUAGGUGGAGCGGUGAAAUGCGUAGAUAUCUACUGGAACGCCGAUGGUGAAGACGCUCGGCUGGGCCUUUCCUGACACUGAGGCACGAAAGCGUGGGGAGCAAACAGGAUUAGAUACCCGCGUAGUCC